AAGACCUUACUUCAUAGGAUCAUUUCUAUAGUAAGCUCUUCACGCAACUUCUCUCACUACGUGGGAAAAUUUCAGCCAUGAUGAGGAGACGUGGCGCGGUACCCUGAGCGUGAGGUUGGCAAUGACGUAUCACGUAUGUCUUUAGCCCUCGAUGAUCGUUCACUUCUUCGCUUGCGAGGGAGCGUGGGGUACUGUCGCUGUCUGAGUGGC